GCGUGUGUGUAUGUAACUGACCUUCCUCUGCAUCACGCAUUUUUUGACCAGCGCCGCCCUCCUGGCCAGCAGACUGUAACAGCAUUCCACAGAAUGCCUUCAUCACAGGAUGAGAUUGGCUGACCUCAAUCUUCAGGUGGCGAUUGGUCUGGUAGACUGGGGGACCGUUGGACUCACCUGGGUCAAAGGCCUCCACUCCACGGUUCAGUAAACUGAUAUCCAGGCGUCCCAGGUGGACGAUGUUAAAGAGGGCUGUGAUCAGCAUCCUCCACACCCCCAGCAACACUCCCACCAGGACGUUGACAGGAAAUAAUAAAGCUGACUUUGGAUGCACAUAUUAUGUCUCCUGACAUAAAGUGGGACCCAAAAUAUAUGCUGACUGACGAUGAGGGCAUAGAUGAUGGAACAAUGACGGAAGAGGCAAUGAUGUUACCAAGAGGCACUCCCAUUCCUGUCACUCACCACAUGUGCUCGAUGAUGUGGAAGAGCAUGAGGUUCUGCCCAUACAGGAUGGGGAUGAUGACAAGGAACACAGCAAAGAGGAGGCAGAUGAAGAACACCAGUGUCUGGAUGAUCAGCCCUGUCAGCAAAAAAACUAAAAGUGAUCCAUUUCAUCAAG